rnacentral:snoRNA from 8 species
GAUCAAUGAUGAACCCUAUCCCGAAGCUGAUAACCUGAAGAAAAGCAUGUACGGAUUCGGCUUCUGAGAC